rnacentral:snoRNA from 1 species
AAGACUAUACUUUCAGGGAUCAUUUCUGUAGUUUGUUACUUAGCAGUCCUCUCCACUCCCUUUCCUCAUCAUCAGAAUGAGAGUAACAUUACUUACCUGAUAGAUUUGUUGUGAGAAUUGAAGAUGA